rnacentral:rRNA from 1 species
ACAUGCCUACAAAAUAGUGUUAAUGCAUCAGAUACCAUUAGAACUUCGUAGUUAAGUGAACUCAAGAUAGAGUAGUACUGGGAUGGGUGACUUCUUGGGAAGUCCUACUGUUUUACAUGCC